UACAUGGGGUGCAAACGUUGCUCGGAAUUAUUGGGCGUAAAGCGCACGUAGGCGGUUUGUUAAGUCGGAUGUGAAAUCCCUCGGCUCAACUGAGGAAGUGCAUCCGAAACUGGCAAGCUUGAGUACGAAAGAGGAGCGCGGAAUUCCCGGUGUAGCGGUGAAAUGCGUAGAGAUCGGGAGGAAGGCCGGUGGCGAAGGCGGCGCUCUGGAACAUUUCUGACGCUGAGGCUCGAAAGCGUGGGGAGCAAACAGG
rnacentral:rRNA from 1 species